rnacentral:lncRNA from 1 species
GUAUGUUGAUCUUCCAUGGAGGUAAAAAUCCCCUAUGUCUUUUGGUUUCAAUUUUAGUGAGAAUACCAUAGGAUCAUCUAUUUAGUCUUAUGGGAAAUUAGAGGUCAUCUAGCCCAAAGCCAUCAUUUCACAGAUAAAGAAACCAAGAGCCAAAGAAAUUAAGUGACUUGCCCAAGGUUGUUGGAGCAUCAAAAUUUGAACUUAGAUCCUUAGGCUUCAAACCUAAAAUGACUUCCACUACUCCAUCAGCCCCUCAACUCACAACAUUUAUACCUGGCAACUUUUAUUUGACUUUAAGGAGGAAGAAGCCUCUUGGCAAAGAGCUGUGCUAACUCCAAAAAUCCCUGAAGAUCAACUUAACACCAGGAGGGAAAAGAAAAUCAAAGAAAUUGCCUGCCAGGGAAGACUAUUUGGCCCAUCUCCAGACUCCAGUAAACACAAAGUGCCAUCAGCCUACAGAAACAUUAGGAGUUUAUGAUGCGGAAAGAAGCGGCUUGUGUGUGACGCAUUUCCAUCUUAUGUGGAGCCAUCUAUUAGAAUGGGAUGUUCUUAAUUUGCUGUGGCCAGAUUAGACCGCAUCAUCGCUGCCAGACAAACUCCAUGAAUUUGAGCAGUGAUUUCUAUGGAAAAUUGGCAAUUAAUCUUAGAUCUAGAAUGGGAAGAGACUUCAGAGAUCAACCCCCUCCUUUUACAGAGCAAACUGGAACUCAAGGAGACAAAGGGACUCCUUUAUUACAGAUGUGAUGUUUUUACGUUACUAGGAUUAGAGGUGAUCCAGUGACAAUGGCCUCCUUAUUGUUCCUCUAGAGCAUUAUCCCAUCUCGAGACUCUUAAUAUUUCAAUGUCUACCUCCCAUGACUGGAAUUCUCUCCCAUCCAUCUCCAUUUCCUGACUUCCUGGCUGCCCCCAAGUCCUAAGCAAAAUCCUAACUUCUGUAAGAAGCCUUUCCAUACCCCCCCUUUACUAAUUGUAUUUACCCAGAAUUGUUUCCAAUUUAUCCUCUGUAGAGUUUAUUUCUAAACCAUUCAUUUCAUGAUGUCUUCCUCUAUUAGAUUGUGAACUCCUUGAGAGUAAGGUGUAUGUUUUUUGUUAUUUUGUUUUUUUCUUUUAUUUUAAUCCCUAGCUCUUGAUACAGUGCCUGACAUAAAGUAAACAAUAAAUGCUUAUUGACUGAUUUCA